rnacentral:rRNA from 1 species
GCGAAAAGAACCCCGGCGAGGGGAGUGAAAAAGAACCUGAAACCGUGUACGUACAAGCAGUGGGAGCACGCUUAGGCGUGUGACUGCGUACCUUUUGUAUAAUGGGUCAGCGACUUAUAUUCUGUAGCAAGGUUAACCGAAUAGGGGAGCCGAAGGGAAACCGAGUCUUAACUGGGCGUUAAGUUGCAGGGUAUAGACCCGAAACCCGGUGAUCUAGCCAUGGGCAGGUUGAAGGUUGGGUAACACUAACUGGAGGACCGAACCGACUAAUGUUGAAAAAUUAGCGGAUGACUUGUGGCUGGGGGUGAAAGGCCAAUCAAACCGGGAGAUAGCUGGUUCUCCCCGAAAGCUAUUUAGGUAGCGCCUCGUGAAUUCAUCUCCGGGGGUAGAGCACUGUUUCGGCAAGGGGGUCAUCCCGACUUACCAACCCGAUGCAAACUGCGAAUACCGGAGAAUGUUAUCACGGGAGACACACGGCGGGUGCUAACGUCCGUCGUGAAGAGGGAAACAACCCAGACCGCCAGCUAAGGUCCCAAAGUCAUGGUUAAGUGGGAAACGAUGUGGGAAGGCCCAGACAGCCAGGAUGUUGGCUUAGAAGCAGCCAUCAUUUAAAGAAAGCGUAAUAGCUCACUGGUCGAGUCGGCCUGCGCGGAAGAUGUAACGGGGCUAAACCAUGCAC